AUUGAACGCUGGCGGCAGGCCUAACACAUGCAAGUCGAACGCGUGGCGGACGGGUGAGUAAUGUCUGGGAAACUGCCUGAUGGAGGGGGAUAACUACUGGAAACGGUAGCUAAUACCGCAUACAAUCAGAUGUGCCAAGAUGGGUUGAGAUAGUUGGUGGGGUAACGGCUCACCAAGGCGACGAUCCCUAGCUGGUCUGAGAGGAUGACCAGCCACACUGGCAAUGAGACACUGUCCUGACUCCUAAGGGAGGCCACAGUGGUGAAUAUUGCACAAUGGCCGCAAGCCUGAUGCAGCCAUGCCGGGUGUAUGAUGAAGGCCUUCGGGUUGUAAAGUCCUUUCAUCGGGGUAGCGUGACCCUCAGAAGUAGCACCGGCUAACUCCGUGCCAGCCGCCGCGGUAAUAC
rnacentral:rRNA from 1 species